CACGCCGUAAACGAUGAAUGCCAGACGUCGGCAAGCAUGCUUGUCGGUGUCACACCUAACGGAUUAAGCAUUCCGCCUGGGGAGUACGGCCGCAAGGUUAAAACUCAAAGGAAUUGACGG
rnacentral:rRNA from 1 species